CUGACGGUACGGGUAUAAGAAGCCCCGGCUAACUACGUGCCAGCAGCCGCGGUAAGACGUAGGGGGCCAGCGUUGCUCGGAAUUACUGGGUGUAAAGGGUUCGUAGCGGUGUGGCAAGUCGGGAGUGAAAUCUCUGGGCUCAACCCAGAGGCUGCUUCCGAAACUGCCGUGCUUGAGCGUGGGAGAGGCGCGUGGAAUUGCAGGUGUAGCGGUGAAAUGCGUAGAUAUCUGCAGGAACACCCGUGGCGAAAGCGGCGCGCUGGACCACAACUGACGCUGAGGAACGAAAGCUAGGGGAGCAAACAGGAUUAGAUACCCUGGUAGUCCUAGCCCUAAACGAUCAGGACUUGGGGUGCUUCACGUUCGUGGAGCGUCCCGGAGCUAACGCGUUAAGUCCUGCACCUGGGGAGUACGGUCGCAAGACUGAAACUCAAAGGAAUUGACGGGGGCCCGCACAAGCGGUGGAACAUGUGGUUCAAUUCGACGCUACGCNAGGAACCUUACCUGGGCUCGAAGCGCACUUGACUAGCUGUGGAAACACGGCCUUCCCGCAAGGGACAAGUGUG
rnacentral:rRNA from 1 species